CGGAGGGGCUAGCGUUGUUCGGAAUUACUGGGCGUAAAGCGCACGUAGGCGGACCAGAAAGUUGGGGGUGAAAUACCCGGGGCGUCAACCUCGGAACUGCCUUCAAACUAUUGGUCUGGAGUUCGAGAGAGGUGAGUGGAAUUCCGAGUGUAGAGGUGAAAUUCGUAGAUAUUCGGAGGAACACCAGUGGCGAAGGCGGCUCACUGGCUCGAUACUGACGCUGAGGUGCGAAAGCGUGGGGAGCAAACAGGAUU
rnacentral:rRNA from 1 species